GGAUUAGAUACCCUGGUAGUCCACGCCGUAAACGAUGGAUACUAGCUGUUCGAUUUUCGGAUUGAGUGGCUAAGCGAAAGUGAUAAGUAUCCCACCUGGGGAGUACGUUCGCAAGAAUGAAACUCAAAGGAAUUGACGGGGGCCCGCACAAGCGGUGGAGCAUGUGGUUUAAUUCGAUGAUACGCGAGGAACCUUACCAAGGCUUAAAUGCAAUACGCAUAGUUUAGAGAUAGACUAGUCUUCGGACGGAUUGCAAGGUGCUGCAUGGUUGUCGUCAGCUCGUGCCG
rnacentral:rRNA from 1 species